rnacentral:RNase_P_RNA from 1 species
UAAGCAGACCGCCUUAUCGCUGCCCCAAAUUAAUGUGGGGCGGAGGAAAGUCCGGACACCAUAGGGCAGCAUAAUGGGUAACACCCAUCAUCCCGAAUUAUCGGGAUAGGACCAGUGCAACAGAAAGGAUGUACAGGUAAUGCUGUAGUGAAAUCAGGUAAACUCUAUGCGGUGCAAUGCCAUGUAUACCGGCUGUUAAGGAUUGCCCGUCCGUUGCCGGAGGGUAGGCAGCUAAAGACUUUUGGUAACAAAAGUUUCAGAUAAAUGAUAAGGACUUCAAUCCCGAUAGCUAUCGGGAGUUGAGGUACAGAAUCCGGCUUACAGGUCUGCUUUUUUU